AGCAAUUAGAGCAGUUGCAUGCAACGGACCGCGGGCUCCAAUUAAUAACCAGCUCAGUUUUUACACGAUAAUAACCGAGGGCAUGGAUACUUUGUUUAAUUGGAUUGAAUUAAUGAUGCUUGGCGUUUUGGCCAGUCGCGACCUUAAGGAAUUCCACGAAUGCAGAAGAAAGCUCUCAGCUUGAUUGCAGUCAAACUCCGCGAGUAAAUAUCUCAAACAGCCCCAAGUGCUACUUAUGCACUUGAAAUGCUUGUGCGGCGGCCCACGGGGCGUAUGCGUGCU